rnacentral:misc_RNA from 1 species
UCUUAGCAAUAUCCCAGCAAUAUCACAGCAGGAGACACCAGAAAUGGGCUUCACACAUUGUACCCAUGUGGGUAAUCGGACCCGGGUCUUCGGCGUGACGAGCGGGCGCUUUAACUACUAGUCUACCUCGCCGCCCCUAUAACGGUACAUGUGUAACGGACAUCGACUGUGCUGUUCCUCCUGGACGGACUUGCUCUCGUGGUGUCUGCAUAUGUUCCAUCGGAUACGGCAUGGGUGAGAUCAGCGUUGAGUGCAGAAGACUAACAGAAUGCACAUCAUUUGGAUUGGAGUUCACUCUCCACGUGGACAAGGGAAUCUAUAUGCAUGACUUUAAGUACAUUAACUCCAAGACAUCUGCAGAAUGUGCCCAGCUGUGUUUGCAUUCAGACACAGUGUGCAAAUCUUUUGAAACAUUCCGUAAUACAUGCUUCCUGCAGAAAGUCACGUGGUUUGAUGUCCACGAUGAUGAUCACAGGGACAAUAAAGGAGAAGAACAUUACCAGCGUAGAUGUAACUGGUGAUACAGGGCCAAUAUUACAAACUCAAAGUGAGUAUUAAUUCCAAAAUUUAGAAUGGAUAUAAAAGAAUGCUAUCCAAUAUCAAUUACAUUUGAUUCCUUUGAGUCCACAGAUUUCUUUAUGUUUGUUUUCUGUUUGAUUAGCCUGUAUUCUGACGUAUUAUGUAGGCUGGAUGUAUAAAUGUUUUCCCACGAUUUGAAAGAUUGUCUGAGACACAAGCAAAGCUAAAGUGACUGUUGACCUGAAAACAAAUAGGAAUGCCCGGCACGUGUCACACAUGUUCUUGGGAAUUGUAUCAGACAUGAUGGUUGUUUCUAUUAUGUCCUCGACAUGUCAACUAUAAACCUCUUGGUCAAAGGCAUGGCAUGUUUAUAGCCUUAUCAAACACCUUUGCAUGACGCUUUUUGAUAUCUUCGUUUCUAAGACAUUCACUGUUUUAAAUCAAAUCAAACAACUUCAUACGACUCCAU